rnacentral:rRNA from 1 species
AGUGAACGCUGGCGGCGUGGCUUAGGCAUGCAAGUCGAGCGUGAAACCCCGCAAGGGGGAGUAAAGCGGCGAAAGGGUGAGUAAAGCAUAGGCAACGUACCCUCGGGACCGGGAUAACUACUGGAAACGGUAGCUAAUACUGGAUGGCCUGGGCGGGUGGCAUCACCUGCCCAGUAAACGGUUGGGAAACCUUCUGCCAGAGGAGCGGCCUAUGUCCCAUCAGCUAGUUGGUGAGGUAACGGCUCACCAAGGCGAUGACGGGUAGCCGGACUGAGAGGUUGGCCGGUCACACUGGGACUGAGACACUGCCCAGACUCCUACGGGAGGCUGCAGUCGAGAAUCUUCCGCAAUGGGCGCAAGCCUGACGGGGCGACGCCGCGUGCAGGAUGAAGGCCUUCGGGUUGUAAACUGCUGUUGCGCGCUAGGAAACCUCAGGGGUUAACAGCCUCUGAGCUGACCAUCGCGUGAGGAAGCACAGGCUAACUCCGUG